rnacentral:rRNA from 1 species
AGAGUUUGAUCCUGGCUCAGGAUGAACGCUGGCGGUAUGCUUAACACAUGCAAGUCGAACGGAAUCCUUAGGGAUUUAGUGGCGGACGGGUGAGUAACGCGUGAGAAUCUGCCUUAAGGAUUGGGACAACAGUGGGAAACCGCUGCUAAUACCAAAUAUGCCUUUUAGUGAAACGGGUAAAACCGCCUUAAGAUGAGCUCGCGUCUGAUUAGCUAGUUGGUGUGGUAAGAGCGCACCAAGGCAACGAUCAGUAGCUGGUCUGAGAGGACGACCAGCCACACUGGGACUGAGACACGGCCCAGACUCUUACGGGAGGCAGCAGUGAGGAAUUUUCCGCAAUGGGCGAAAGCCUGACGGAGCAAUACCGCGUGAGGGAGGAAGGCUCUUGGGUUGUAAACCCCUUUUCUCUGGGAAGAAAGUUGUGAAAGCAACCUGACGGUACCAGAGGAAUCAGCAUCGGCUAACUCCGUGCCAGCAGCCGCGGUAAGACGGAGGAUGCAAGCGUUAUCCGGAAUGAUUGGGCGUAAAGCGUCCGCAGGUGGCAGUUCAAGUCUGCUGUCAAAGACCGGGGCUUAACUUCGGAAAGGCAGUGGAAACUGAACAGCUAGAGUAUGGUAGGGGCAGAGGGAAUUCCUGGUGUAGCGGUGAAAUGCGUAGAGAUCAGGAAGAACAUCGGUGGCGAAGGCGCUCUGCUGGACCAUAACUGACACUCAGGGACGAAAGCUAGGGGAGCGAAUGGGAUUAGAUACCCCUGUAGUCC